UCUUUUCACUAGGCCCAGUCUUCUUGAUAUCUCUUCUCGCCUUUCCAGCAGAGUGCGUUGGAGGCAAUCAAGGGUGCAUGUGUGAGGCUGCAGGCCCUGGGGAGGCCAGGCAGCAAUGUUGCUUGCGGUGAUAGCAGCAGACAGCAGCAGGCAGCAGGACCCAGGCCUCCGUCUGGGCUUCCUCUGUCAGGAACCAGCUGUGUCGGCCAACAGCCACUCCUUCCCUUCUCGCAUCCUCUGUUCUAGGUUGCCCCUCUUUUGCUUCUGUGCACCUUGCCUACUGGCCAUAUUGAGGCUUUCUGUUGUCCAAUAUCCUCAAACACAUCCUUCCUGUUCAUCCUUUUGGGUUUAUGUGAUUGUAACUUGUCUCCUGAUGUCAAGCUAACUGUAUGUAGGCUUUUUGUAUUUUACUGUCUUUUGUUUGUUUUGUUUGUUUUUGCAUGACAGUUCACAAAAAAGUGCAACAAGCGGCACAGCGAAUGAGAUCUCUAGUCAAUGGCGUUGGAGUUGAACAAAGGAAUGACAAUAAAUGUCGAUUGCAUGUGCAAGUUGGCCAAAAUCUACACAGAAGCUAAUCACAGCAAUAAUAUGAUGUAAAUCUUCUCACGUACUGUUAUGUCAUCUAUUUCAAAUGACCCUGUGCAUACAAUUCCAUUGCAAUAAACUGUGUUUCAAACUUGUCAGUUUAAAAUUUCAGGAAACCAGUAGAACAAUGUUAGAAAAAGUACCUUCUGUGCUGUGUCAAUUGUUGGAACGAUGAAGAUGCUUUGGCUACAGAUUAAACAUAUUUGUUUGAUUUCA